UGCCAUUUAUAUAGGAUUUAGGUCCGGAU
rnacentral:piRNA from 1 species